ensembl:lncRNA
AUAUCAUCUUUUUCAUGCACGUUGUUGUUUUUAAUCCUUUGUCAGCAUGCCUGGGCAGCUGGGCAAUGCACGUAGAGAGGAGCAAAGGAAUUAGAGAGGAGCAUGUCGGAGUUUCUGCCCAGCACAACCCUAUGGCUGUCAUUUCUUAUCUCUGUUAUUAACUUCAUGCAUGUGAGCCAUUACAGUGGAUUGAUUGAACAGAACAAUUUAUGUGCCCAAAGAUCAAACUCUACAUGCCAGUAAGAUGCUGCCACCCAGAGUGGGUUCGGACCAUUUGUGAGUGACUUACAUCUGUUCAGACUAAAGGGGAUGCUCUCUAGAUUCUUGCUUUCUCCAGCUGCUGUAGGCAGGUUUGUUUCUUCAUAAGCUCCACAGCUGUUUCAGUUGUUUGUGUAAAGUAUCUUAAUGCAUGGGGAUCACUUCAAUAUGCAAGCUCUAUUUUCAUUACUGCACUGUUGGGACAAUAAAUAAAAGAGGCUACAUGACCAAAGCCAUUUUAUUCUGGGAGAGACAUAAAGAAUAAAGCAGUGCUUAGAAAUUAAGGACUGAAAAGGCUGAAUACAUAAGAAAUUCAUCACAAAGAGUGGAAACAAAACAGAAGAGGAGGAAACUGCCCCAAAUGGCACCGUCCCUUUAAACAGUGCUCUACUAGUCACAUUCUUUUCAAUGUGCCUUUCUUGUCUUUAGCAUCUCUCUUACCUUCUCAGUUGUCACAGGCUAAACUUCCCUCACAUAAUGUGAGAUUAUGAGGGAAAUCUAUGUACUUAUUUUUAACAAAACUGUAUUAUUUUCCCUCAAACAGAUGCUACCAUGUAGUGUUUCAUAUACAGGAGAUGAAAGGAAUGCCAUGCAACUUCAUAUACCAUGUAUCUGUUCGUUACAGGGAGCUGGACUAAAUGACCUAUAAGGGUCCCUUCCAACUCAAAUGACUCUGUAAUUCUAUUAUCUCCUUAAGCCCUGGUGUGUAUCAAUUACUGCAACUUUCUGAAGCAGGGAAUACAGGAAAUCCUAGGCCACUGGAUGCAAACAGCAUAAACAAACCCAAGACACUAAAAAUCUGAAGAAAUCCUGCAAAAUCUGACUCAUAGCUUACAUUGGACCAUUAAAACUACGAAGAUUUUUCCGAUCAAACAAACCUUCUUCCUCACUCUGUCCAUAAAUAACAGGUACUCAAGGGAUUUACUGUUUUGUCCAGUUCCUGGCAAGCUGCAAUCAAUGUUUCUUAAGAAGAGUGUAAGCUACUUGGAAAGGAGGCUGUUUUCUGUGCAGUGUUUUCUUGCCUGCUAGCAAUUGUUCAGAGGUCAUGUUUUGCCCUCAGCUGCAGAGGUACAUUUCUUGUUGAUUUCAGUGGCAGAUGCAUGCCUAUUUCUGAGAGAAGGUUUAACAGACGGCACUACUGUUUAGAAAUUGCAUUUCACUUUCAUUAAGGAAAAGGAGUAAGAUAGGUGCGGGAAAUAAGGAAAUACACGAAAACCAGACUUAUGGUUUUGAAAGAUACAAAGAAGACUGAACAUUUUUCAAGCACAAAAUCCUCACGCACUGUUGCAUGGCAUAGAAAGCACUGGCUGAAACCAGUGGAGUGGGCAGAGGGGAGGGCAGACAUUUACAGCACAGCUGUGAGCAUCCCCAUUUUGGGUCUGGGGAAAGGUAAGUUAUGGGUGAGGCAAGUAUGCCUGCCCUUGCUUUGGUUUAGUGCAUCCCCUGACGCUGAAUUUAGAUUUGUAACAGGUAUGAGUCACUCCCUGGAAGGCACAGUAGAACUGGUACUUAAUCCCAACAUUUAUUCAGAACUAAAAAUAUGGAUAGAUGGACAAUAAAUAUCUCUUUCCUUUUGUUGUCUACGGUGACCUGAGGACUUUGUGCAGGUUUAGGAAGCACACUGCAAUACAAAAAGAAACAGGCUUAAAAGCCAAGGAUUGAAACAUAACAUAAUAACUAAACCUUGAAUCAUAUCCUUGGAGAGACAGUGCCACAUGUAUGUGAAGAGCAGAAGUUACCCUGCUGAACAAAGCUGGAAAUCUCUGCUGAAUAAAAAUGGAAAUGGGGUGUGUGAAUAUUGUCUAAUUUAUCAGUGUUCAAGGUUACUAAUCAGUUGGGAGUUCUUCUAAAGGUCAAUUAAGUCCAAUGAGACAUCCCAGUGACCUUCUCUGUCAUCCACUUUCACCCCCCUUUCCCCAUCUCCCUCCUGUUCAGUCAAGCCACUAAUUAGUAGCACGUUUUCCAUUUUCUUUGAAAAAUAAAUCUAAGUAUUAUUAAAAAUUUAUGUCUAGUUUCAA